GUGCAGACCUUUCCAGCGAGGCCGAGCCUACCGUGGUUCUGUCCUUUCCUGUAGUGUCUGCUAGAGAGAUGUGAGGCUGUUUGAGGCCCUGCUGUGACUAUCCAUGGCAGGGUUAUAGGUAAACCUCACACAAAC
rnacentral:snoRNA from 1 species